CUUCCUUUCAUUUUACUCUGUGGACUCGCCCUGAAUUCUCUCUUGCACGAGAUCCAACAACCCUCUCUUGAGGUUUGGACUGGGACCCCUUUCUGGUCCGGCCCAGAGGGGAAAUGGAAAGAAGUCAGGAUCCAGAACAGUAAGGUCUGCAGAUGUCUGGGCAGUUUGCUGGAACACAACUGGGGUUAUAUCUGCAAAUGCUAGAGCCCAUCUACACACAGCAAAAUAUCUCACAAUGAAUUCCCAUCCACAGCCUCAGCAAUGGGCUGGUGUGUCCCCAGAGAAUGUCAGCUGAUUGGACAGCAGUCUGCAGGAGAAGGUGAAUCCCCUAAUUUGGAAGGAACUGAAGCAUGAAAAGAUGCUGAGAUCACAAUGAAAACAGACAAAGUCUUCUGGGGAUGAAAUGUUAAAAAGGGGAGAUGUGCAAGGAACACAGGAAGAAUAAGUUCAGGAGAUCUGUUAUACAACAUGGGGAUGAUAGUUAAUAACAAUGCAUGGUACAUUUGGGGAUUGCUAAAGGAACACCUUGUAAAGAUUUCCACCCUUCCUCUUGAAUGAUAAGUAUGAAAUGUGACGGAUAUAUUUCUUAGCUUGAUGUAGCUGUUCCACCGUGUGUGCAUAUAUCAAAACAUCACGUUGUAUCCCA
rnacentral:lncRNA from 10 species